ensembl:lncRNA
UUUUUUUUUUGUUUUUUUUUUUUUUUUUCCCGUUUCUGAGAUAGAAACUAGGUGCUGAUCACCCUAGCUGACUAAGGGAUGAUUCAUGGGGUGUGUGAAAACAAGGCAUUUUCAGGACAAAUCAGACUUCUACACUAAGGAGGACAUGAUUGGAGUGAGCUUCACGUGAGUGAGACCACCAGCAAAACACCAGUGCACAUGGCGUAUGGUCAGUCCAAACCCUCGUUUGCCUAGGUAUAGCAGAGUGCUAGUGGAGAAAAAGGUAAGGGCUGCAUUCUGGAACAAACUAACCUUAGUGCUACUGUUUGUUCCCUGAGUAGAGUUUACCUUUCAAGAAUGUAGCUCCCAGAGGCUAGAUUUGUGUCAUAUCUGAGAUUGAAACUAGGUGCUGACCACCCUAUCUGUCUAAAUGGUUUUGAAGGGGCAUGUGAAAACAAUGCAUUGUCAUGCCAAAUCAGACUUGUCCACUAAGGAGAAUAUAUUUGGAGUGAGCCUCAGGCAAUGGAGAUCACCAGCAAACCACCAGUGGACAUGGAGCAAGAGGCAGCCCAGACCCGCUUUGCCCAAUGUACAGCAUAAGGCUAGCUGAGAAAAAGGCAAGGGAUGCUUUCCUGAGCAAACACGCAUUGGGGCUGUUGUUUGAUCCCUGAGUAGAGUUUAACUUUCAAGAAUGCAGCUCCCAGAAGCUAGUUAUGUGCAUUUUCUGAGAUUGGACCUACGUGGAGAUCUCCCUAGCAGGCUAAGAGUGGAUUGCUGGGGAAUGUGAAAAGAAGGCAUUUUCAUGUCAAAUCACACUUCUUCCACGAAGGAGAACACGUUUGGAGUGGGUUUCAAGGGAAGGAGACCACGAGCAAACCACAAGUGCACACGGAGCAAGAGGCAGCCUUGACCCUACUUUGCCAUAGAGAUUGCAAAGGGCUCUAUGAGAAACAAGCAAGCAUUGCUUUAACGAGCAAACACACAUUGGGGCUGUUGUUUGGCCCAUGAGGAGUGUUGAGCUUUCCAGAAUGCAGCUCACAGAAGCUAGGUUUGUGCCGUUAAUGAGAUUGGCCAUAGGAGCCUAUCUCCCAAGCUAGCUAUGGGUGAAUUGCAUGGGAAUGUGAAAACAAGGCAUUUUCAGGCCAAAUCAGUCUUGUCCAUGAAGGAGAACACAAUUGGAGUGGGUUUCAAGCUAAGGAGACAAUGAGAAAGCACUAGUGCCCAGGGAGCAAGCAGCAGUCCAGACCCUCCUUUGUUCUAGGGAUAGAAUAAGGAUAUUUGAAAAAAGGCAAGCGUUACUUUAAUGAACAAGCACACAUUGGGGCUGUUGUUUGCUCCCUGAGUAGAGUUUAACUUUCCAGAAUGCAGCUCCCAGAAGCUAGUUUUUUUGUGCCAAUGGAGCAAGAGGCAGCCCAGAACCUCCUUUUGCCUAUGGAGAGGAUAGUGCUAGGGGAGAAAAAGGAAAGCAUUGCUUUCAUAUUGGGGGCUAUUGCCUGACCCACAAGUAGAGUUUAAUAUUCCAGAAUGCAGCUCCGAGAAGCUCGUUUUGUGCCAUUUCUGAGAUUGGCCCUAGGUGGAAAUCCCCUAGCUAGCCAAAGGUGGAUUGCUGGGGCCUGGGUAAACAUAGCAUUUUCAUGCCAAAUCAGACUUGUCCAUGAGGGAGAACACGUUUGGAGUGGGUUUCAAGCUAAGUAGAAUACCAGCAAAGCACCAGUGCACAGGGAGCAAGAGGCAGCCCAGACCCUCCUUUGCCCUAUGGAAAACAUAAGGCUAGGUGAGAAAAAGGCAAGCGUUGCGUUCCUGAGCAGAGAUGCAUUGGGGCUGUUGCUUGUUCCACCAGUAGACUUUACCUUUACAGAAUGCGGGCUCCUGAAUCUAGUUUUGUGCCUUUUUUGAGAUUGUCCAUAGGUACUGAAAUCACAAGAUGGCUAAGGUUGGAUUGCUGGGGAGUGUGAAAAUAUGGCAUUUUCAUGCCUAAUCAGACUUGUCCACGAAAGAGAACAUGUUUGGAGUUUGUUGCAAGGGAAGGAGACCACAAGCAAAGCACCAGUACACAGGGAUCUAUAGGCAGCCGAGACCAAGCUUUGCCCAAAGGAUAUCAUAGGGCCAGAUGAGAAAAAGGAAAGGGUUGCUUUCCUGGGCAAAGACGAAUUGGGGUUGUUAUUUCUUCCUCAAGUAGAGUUUAACUUUCCAGAAUUAAGCCUCCAGCUGCUAGUUUUGUGCCUUUUCUGUGAUUGGCGAUAGGUAGACAUCUCCCGAGCUGGCUAAGUUUGGAUUGUUGGGUAAUGUGAAAACAAGGCAUUUGCAUGCCAAAUAGCAUUUGUCCACGGAGGAAAACAUGUUUGGAGUGGGUUUAAAGCUAAGGAGACCAUGACCAAAGCAUCAGUGAGCAAGAGGCAGCCCAGAACCAACUUUGCACUUUUGAUAUCAUAGGGAUAGGUGAGAAAAAGGCAAGAGAUGCUUUCCUGAGAAAAGAUGCAUUGAGACUGUUGUUUCUUCCCCAAGUAGAGUUAUCUUUCAAGAAUGCAGCCUCCAGAAUCUAGUUUUUUGCCUGCGCUGAGAUUGGGCCUAGGUAUUGUUCUCCCUGGAUAGCUAAGUUUGGAUUGAUGGGGCGUGUGAAAACAUGGCAGUUUCAUGCCCAAUCACACUUGUAGACAAGGGAGAACACAUUGGAGUGGGUUUUAAUCUAAACAGACCACCAGCAAAGCACCAGUGCAAGGGAGCAAGAGGCAGUCUGUACCCUGCUUUGCCCUAAGGAUAGCAUAGGGAUAGGUUAGAAAAGCUAAGCGUUGCUUUCCUGAGCCAAGACGCAUUGGGGUUGUUGUGUGAUCGCCGAGUUGAGUUUAACUUUCCUGAAUGCAGCCUCCAGAAUCUAGUUUUGUGCGUUCUCUGAGAUUGGCCCUAGGUACUGAUCACCCUGGAUAGCUAAAGGGGGAUUGUUGGGGCCUGUGAAAACAUGACAUUUUCAUGCCAAAUCAGACUUGUCCACGAAGGAGAACAUGUUUGGAGUUGGUUUCUAGGUAAGGAGACCUCCAGCAAAGCACCCGUGCACAGGGAACAAGAGGCAGCCCAGACCCGCCUUUGCUCUAUGGAUAGCAUAUUGCUAGGGGAGAAAAGGCAAGAGUUGCUUUUCUGAGCAAAGAUGCAUGGAGGCUGUUGUUUGCUCCCUGAGUAGAGUUUACCUUUCCAGAACGCAGGCUCCAGAAUCAUGUUUUGUGCCUUCUCUGAGAUUGGACCUAGGUAGUCAUCUCCCUAGCUGGCUAAGGUUGGAUUGCUGGUGCCUGAGAAAACAUGGCAUUUUCAGGCCCAAUCAGACUUAUCUACAACAGAGAACACGUUUGGAGUGGGUUUUCAUCUAGGGAGACUACCAGCAAAGCACCAGGGCACAGGGAGCAAGAGGCAGCCCAGAACCUCCUUUGAGCUAUGGAUAGCAUAAGGUAGGUGAGAAAAAGACAAGCAUUGCUUGCCUGAGCAAAGACGCAUUGGGGCUGUUGUGUGCUCACCGAGUAGAGUUUAACAUUCCAGAAUGCAGUCUCCAGCAUCUAAUUUUGUCCCUGCUCUUAGAUUGGCCCUAGGAAGUGAUCUCCCAAUCUGCCUAGGGUGGAUUGAUGGGGCAAGUGAAAGCUAGGCGUUUUCAUACCCCAUCAGACUUGUCCACGAAGGAGAACUCAUUUGGAGUGGGUUUCAAGGUAAGGAGACCACCAGCAAAGCAGCAGUGCCCAGGGAGCAACAGGCAGCCCAGACUCUGCUUUGACCUAUGGAGAGCAUAGGGCUAGGGGAGAAAAGUCAAGUGUUGCGUUCCUGAGCAAAGAUGCAUUGGGGCUGUUGUUUGUUCCCUAAGUAGAGUUUAACCUUCCAGAAUGCAGGCUCCAGAAUCAGGUUUUGUGCCUGCUCUGAGAUUGGCCCUAGGAAAUGAUCUCCCUAGCUGGCUAAGUUUGGAUUGAUGGGGCCUGGGAAAACACAGCAUUUCAUGACCA